rnacentral:rRNA from 1 species
CCUACGGGGGGCAGCAGUGGGGAAUAUUGCACAAUGGGCGCAAGCCUGAUGCAGCCAUGCCGCGUGUGUGAAGAAGGCCUUCGGGUUGUAAAGCACUUUCAGCGGGGAGGAAGGCGUUAAGGUUAAUAACCUUGGCGAUUGACGUCACCCGCAGAAGAAGCACCGGCUAACUCCGUGCCAGCAGCCGCGGUAAUACGGAGGGUGCAAGCGUUAAUCGGAAUUACUGGGCGUAAAGCGCACGCAGGCGGUCUGUCAAGUCGGAUGUGAAAUCCCCGGGCUCAACCUGGGAACUGCAUUCGAAACUGGCAGGCUAGAGUCUUGUAGAGGGGGGUAGAAUUCCAGGUGUAGCGGUGAAAUGCGUAGAGAUCUGGAGGAAUACCGGUGGCGAAGGCGGCCCCCUGGACAAAGACUGACGCUCAGGUGCGAAAGCGUGGGGAGCAAACAGGAUUAGAUACCCGGGUAGUC